rnacentral:lncRNA from 1 species
GUCCGACCUGUCUUGUCCUCCUGCCUGAGCGCCUCGGUGGUGUUCAGUGUUUGGGAUGAAUUUCCACUAGCCAUUUGCUUGCAAAUUGAAUGAAAGACACCUUCUGGCCUGUGAAUUUCAGCUCAAGACAGAGUGAUGAAGUACCCACUGGCCCACUCACAGCCCAGGGGGCGCCUCUGCAGGCCAGCUCCAGCCAUCCAGUUCACACGCGGAACCUCGAGGCUCUGCUCACGCACUCCACGGAGGGGAAACUGGACCCAAAUGCAAGUCUGAACACACUCCAGGGAAACAUUUCACAGGCAGCAAAUCCAAGAGUGACCGAGAGAAUCGCGCCGGCUGGCGUCCAUUGCCUCCUUCAGUACACGCUGCGC